rnacentral:rRNA from 1 species
UACAGAGGGUGCAAGCGUUGUUCGGAUUCAUUGGGCGUAAAGGGUGCGUAGGCGGUCGCGCAAGUCGGAUGUGAAAUCUCAGGGCCCAACCCUGAAACUGCAUUCGAUACUGCGUGGCUAGAGUGCUGGAGAGGAGACUGGAAUUUACGGUGUAGCAGUGAAAUGCGUAGAUAUCGUAAGGAAGACCAGUGGCGAAGGCGAGUCUCUGGACAGCAACUGACGCUGAGGCACGAAGGCCAGGGGAGCAAACGGG